AUAUUUACCUGGCAGGGGAGACACCAUGAUCAAGAAGGUGGUCUACCCAGGGUGAGGCUCAGCUGUUGCACUCCAGUUGUCUGACCCCUGCAAAUUCCCCAAAUGUGGGAAUCUCAACUACAUAAUUUGUGUUGGUGGGGGACUGCGUUCACACGCCCCCCUG